rnacentral:lncRNA from 1 species
GGGGUAUGUUCUAUUUGGGACCGUAGGAUCGCGAUCGAACGGCUGAAAAACGCCCAGGGGGACACCGCGGCGGCCGACCGGUCGGAACAGGGGCACCUGCGGCGGCGUUCCAUUACCAGCGCUGCAAGGUGGGCGGCGCCCGCCAAAAAAGGCGUUCCCGAGCGCCUAAAUUCCAAAGGAAAUUACCGAAAGGUAGAGAAGAACGUUGCGAUCUAACCUAGGAGUCCAACGCGGAUUGAGAAAGGCUAGGGAGGUGCGGCCGCGCGCGGAGGAGAGAAGACUCUCGGCAAGAUCCAAUUCUCAUGGAAAACGAAGCUAGGGCACGGAUUAGUUGGCUUAGAUGCGAAAGGAGUGUCACAGGGGUUGAUUUGGGAGUUUUAUAGGGCUCGGAUACGUGCGGAAGCUAGAAAUCCCGAGGAAACCGGGAUUUGCCAUGACCGGAGUCGUUGACAGAUGGGGCCAGUGCGUCAGCGGCAGGGAAGAGCGGGGCCCGUCGGUCAGUGAAAUGAAAAGGGAGAGAGGGGAGGGGGCGCGCUGCUGGGCCGGAGAAAGAAAUGGGCCGAGGGGCGAAGAGGGGCGCUGGGCUGGGUAGGGGGGAAGGAAGGCUGGGCCCUCGGGCCAGAAUAGAGAGAGGGGAAAGUUGUUUUCCUUUUUCUUUUGUUUGUUUUUUUCUUUUAUUUCCAAACCAUUUUCAAAUCAGUUUGAAACAAUUUUGAACUUUGGUCAAAUCACUCAUCACAAUAAAAAUGAAUUUUCUAGCAUGAACGCACAACCAUAUUUCUAAUCCUAUUAUAAAUUUUUAUUUUAAUGAAAAAUAUUAUUUUCCUAUGUUUCAUGAGCACCAAAAUACAAAAUUAAUCAUUUUUCACCUAUUUCAAAAGUUGUAAAUUUUUGGGUGUUACAGGAUCUCCGCAUAGUUGUUCCAUUCAACUUAUCUUUCUCAAGAAUUGAAUGCAAAGUAAAUGGUUGACUAGGCACCAUUUAUCUAUAACCAAAGUAACAGAGUAAAUAAUAUUAAAUAAAAUCUACUCUUUCUAUAAUCAAUAUCUCUCUAUUGGAACUUAGUGAUUUAAGACCCACAAUUAACAAGUCUACUAGUGAGCUUUAGCAUCAUCACUAGAAGACAUGGUAGAUAAGUAAGUAACUCCUUGCUAAUCAUAUCACGUAUGACUCUUAUUGUUGGGCAGCAUGUCUAUGCUUUGGCACCCAACUACUCAUGCUCCAAGGUCCCUAACCGUUAGGAUGACCUUGUUCAAGCAACCACCCUUUUUUGUAGUAAGUAUCUGAUACGAACCUAUCUAGUCAAGGAAAACCAGUGGCACCCUAAUUUCAUAGACCUACCACCGAUUGUACAAGACACAUGACAGAGCAAGGUUUGAGGGAGCAUGUAACUUAAACAAUGUUGAGGGAUUGUUCUACUUCAGUACCGCGCAUGUAGACAAAAACAUCAUCGCAUGUGAAAGUAAACAAAGUAAAGAACAAUAUUGACAUAGAUAUGACUUGGUAUAGCCCAUUGUUCUUUGGGGAUCUCCAUCUCCAUCGAACUGUCCAUCAUGAUGAUCUCCACCUCCAUGAUCCAUGUACACCAUCCUCUAAUAGUGAGUCCACCAAGACUAGCUAUCACUAACGUAACAUAGUGAAUUAAAAUUACAUAGUCAUGGAUAGAAUCAUCACAGUGUGGCACGUAGGCCUUUACAUCACAUUGAUAAUAUCUAUGUGGCUCUAGCCAUAUUGUCAUAAUCAUGACAUGCAAUCUAUGAAUUAAUUACAUACAUGCAUCACAUACACAUAUAGGCUAUACUAGUCAUGAAUCCCUGCAAAACAGAGUUAAUCAAUUUCAAUGUCUAAACUUAAACCGUUGAAAACUCCAUCUUCUCGGCUGUUUUUUGCAAAUCUAAUUUCACCAAACUCAUUGUAGCGGGCAAGAAAUGGAUGUAAAAUGUUUUUCUAGUAUUGCAACCGUCUAGCUUGGGGAAGGAGCAUCCCCUAGUUAUCACGUAAUUAUACCUAAGUGAUUUUGAGUCUACAUAGUCAUAAAAAUACCAAAAAUAUGUGGGCACAUGAAGGUCCACAAGUCAUAGAGUCUUUUUGUGAGUUUAUAAUUAGUUAAGUGUCAGAGUCUGUUUAGAGUCAUUCUAAACUAGAGCUAAACAAAAAUUGAUGAACAUUAAAAUUUUGUCUUGGAGAUAUAAAUAGUUGCUCUAUUAUAAUUCUUUACAAGUACGUAGAUUCCAACGGUAGAUUCUCUCGAGUUUUGGACAUGACUAUUUUAAUUUCAAGGUUUACUCUGAACCUGCAACUUGUGGAGGCAUAAGUUUGAGCUAAGUCUAGGUAGUUGGUUGAUAUGAUCAUUGAAAGUCUGAGCUGCUAUUUAUCUUAUUCCUAGCAUUAUUAAGUUCUAGAGAUUUAUUUUGAAAUUUUAAAAUUUACAUGAUGAGCUCUACAUGACAAGUUUGAAUUCCUACCAAAGUCAUAAAUAAUAUACAUUUAGAGUUAGGAAGACUUUCGCACAUUUAUGCUGCUUGCUUUGCAUUGAGUUCAGUCAACCUUGGUAGUAUACCUUACGAGAGUCUUGUCAUGCUUUUAAAACCAAGAUUAGGUACACACUUCAGUUCACAUAUGCAUUAUUCCCACACAAGAAGUAAUCACAAUCAUUUCCAUUCCAUGUUCACCAAUCAAACACCAACAUAAACCAUACCCAUAGGAUAAAGCCCAUCAUAAAUGCUCUAAGUUCUUAUUAUUACCUCUCUGAUCAUUUAUUGUAUUCAAAGGAAACAUGUGGCUAUGCAACAAUAUAAAAGAAAAAAAGGGGAGUAAAAGAUGGACAAGUGUCCGAGUAAUUAAAACAAUGGGUACUAGAUGCCUGCCUCCUUGAAUAAAAAAAUAAAAUAAAUAAAUAAUAUUAAUAAAGAUAGCCCAUGUUUUUUCCGCAAAAAGUUCCAAGAUCAAAAGAGAGAUUUAUUCAAGGAGCAAAAGUAGAAAUAGAAAUUAGCCACAAAUACCGCAAAAGCACCUAUCCACCAUAUUCCAUACACAUGCACAUCUUGGUUUGAUUGUAUGCCUUGAUUCUCUAUGGAUCCAUUAGUUGACUUUACAAUACAUGCAUUGCAAGUAUGUCUAUCCUUGUUAUUUGCACUCCUAUAAGCUCUACCAUAUAUAUAUAUAUAAUAUAUAUAUACCUUUAGCUAUAGGAGGCAUAACAUCAUUAAUGCCUCAAGAGAGGACCAUAAAUACCACAUACAUGGAGAGACUUGAGGGUGUCAUACAAUUAAGCUCUGAGUUUUAUUCUGAAAACUUAUAAAAACUCUAGAAUAAUGGUUCUGCAAAGAAUUUGAGACAUAGUGUUUGACCUGAUUGUUCUAUCUUCUGAUUGCUCAAGACUCAUGCAAAAGUUGUAAAGCCCCAUGGUUAAAGGUAAAAUGGGAAAGUUUGAAGAUUAGAGCAAUUAUUAACUAACCCGGAGGAGAAUCUCUGUUUGAGAGCCUGUGUACUUGGAAAGAAUAAAAACAUUGUAGCAACUCUUGAUCCAAAUACAUAUAUUGCUUAGGCUUGGUUUGCCAAGGGACUGGCAAAAGGUAAGCUUGGGGGAAUUGUUGACGGUCGAUAACGUCAACUUUUAUUAGAACUUUAAACCCGAAGGAGAACAUGAAAACACACUAGUCUAGGGUUUGAACUGACAAUUUCCACGAGUUUUGCAUAUUCUGUAUUUUCCAGGGUCUAUUUCCAGAAAAGCUGAAAAGAGGGAUUCAAGUGCAUAUUACCACAAAACUUAUCCGCCAUGAAAAAUAUCAUGAACGGGACGGG